UACCCACAGGUGUGUUGACUCAAAGC
rnacentral:piRNA from 1 species